UGUCCGGACCGCAGUACCUGCCGUGUCUUCCUGACUCAGUCUAGAUGGUUUUUUAUGCAUGUAACUGUUUUUGUUUUUUUUUAGAAUUUAUUUGCCUUUAUCAAUGACUGAUAAGAGCAAUGGACUCAAAACAAAACCUAAGCUGUGAUCUCUGUCACAUGACGAGGGGCUUAAGUUCAGGCGAUCGUAUUUCCUGCUAGGAGUGCCAGAUACACACACUGAAUACGUCAUUGGAAAGCCCCGAGUCUGUACUUUUAAACAAGCCAGGUCGAAAAACUUUGGUGCAGGGGGCAAGUGCCAGUGACUCAUCAUUUUUCAUGGCAGGCCAGGUCCCUGGUAGCACAGCCCGCCAGUGACUCAUCAUUUUUCAUGGCAGGCCAGGUCCCUGGUAGCACAGCCCGCCAGUGACUCAUCAUUUUUCAUGGCAGGCCAGGUCCCUGGUAGCACAGCCCGCCAGUGACUCAUCAUUUUUCAUGGCAGGCCAGGUCCCUGAUAGCACAGCCCGCUUGAUAACUGCAGUUACUUGCUAUUUAGGUGGUGGAGGCAGUAGGGUGGGAUCUUGCUUUCAAGCCACUUCCAAACAAUCAAACAGCAUUUUACAAAAACAGACAAUUGUGUAACUGUGUCCCCAUCCCUCCUAUCCAAUUUAAUUAUGUUGCAUUGAAACCAUUUAUUUUGAAAUACCCCAAAUAGCUCUGCAAUGCUCAGAAAGACCAGGGAGUGCUUUCCUUUUAUAACCAGCAGAGCACAUGUACUUCUUCCAAGGUAGAUUCUUCAGUAAAUUCUCUUACGUUCCUUGUUGCUAGACGACACUGUCUGCCUAACAGCAUCAGAGCAAUGUCUUUCAAGAAAACGUGGCGCCUGGCCAUACAUCAUGAUCACUUUAUUGAUUUCAAAAAUGAAGUGCACCGGAUCAUGGCAGCCAGGCAGGAUCCAGGAUCCUUUUCAAUUAAAGAAAUAUUUUCAACAGGUAGUGGAGGAAGAACGAUCUGAAGAUCCAAAGGAAACCCUGAAGAUGAAAUUUGAGGCGUGCAAUUACAGAAACCCUGUGGAGAGAUAUAUGUUAAAUUACCUGAAGUACAACAGGUACCAUCUGCCUAUGUAGGCAUGGGAAACCAUUUAAGUGUAUGUUUUAAAAUGGGAUAAAAACAGUCAAGUGUGUUGACAGCGACUGUAAUUGUUCAUAAAAAAUAAAAAUAAAAACUAAACUAA